rnacentral:rRNA from 1 species
AUUGAACGCUGGCGGCAGGCUUAACACAUGCAAGUCGAGCGGAGAUGAGGUGCUUGCACCUUAUCUUAGCGGCGGACGGGUGAGUAAUGCUUAGGAAUCUGCCUAUUAGUGGGGGACAACAUUCCGAAAGGAAUGCUAAUACCGCAUACGUCCUACGGGAGAAAGCAGGGGAUCUUCGGACCUUGCGCUAAUAGAUGAGCCUAAGUCGGAUUAGCUAGUUGGGGGGGUAAAAGCCUACCAAGGCGACGAUCUGUAGCGGGUCUGAGAGGAUGAUCCGCCACACUGGGACUGAGACACGGCCCAGACUCCUACGGGAGGCAGCAGUGGGGAAUAUUGGACAAUGGGGGGAACCCUGAUCCAGCCAUGCCGCGUGUGUGAAGAAGGCCUUAUGGUUGUAAAGCACUUUAAGCGAGGAGGAGGCUACUGAGACUAAUACUCUUGGAUAGUGGACGUUGCUCGCAGAAUAAGCACCGGCUAACUCUGUGCCAGCCGCCGCGGUAACAC